CAGCCCAUCGAGGACAGCAGUAGAAAUCACAGAAUCAUAGAAUCAUAGAAUCGCUAAGGUUGGACAAGACCCACAGGAUCAUCCAGUCCAACCAUUCACCCAUCACCAAUGGUUCCUGCUAAACCAUGUCCCUCAACACAACAUCCAAACGCUCUUUGAACACCACAAGGCUCAGUGACUCCACCACCUCUCUGGGCAGCCCAUACCAGUGCCUGACCACCCUUUCAGAGAAGUAGUAUUUCCUAAUGUCCAGCCUGAAUCUUCCCUGGCGCAGCUUGAAGCCAUUCCCUCUAGUCCUAUCACUAGUCACCCGAGAGAAGAGGCUGACCCCCAGCUCACUAAAACCUCCCUUCAGGUAGUUAUAGAGAGCAAUAAGGUCUCCCCUGAGCCUCCUCUUCUCCAGACUGAACAAUCCCAGCUCCUUCAGCUGCUCCUCAUAAGGCCUGUGCUCCAGACCCCUCACCAGCUUUGUUGCCCUCCUCUGGACACGCUCCAGGGCCUC
ensembl:lncRNA